rnacentral:tRNA from 1 species
AGCGAACUAGGUUAUGGUUAAGACUGUCUGUCUUCAAAACAGGAGGGGGGCCAAAGGGUUCGUUCGCUG